GGGCAGGGGGCGCGGGGGGCGCGCCGGCCCCGGGAGCGCCCCGCCCCUUGCCGAGCAGGCCCGGAGCGCCGAGGGCACCGCCCAGGGCCCCCCUCUCGCGGGGAUGGAGCGGGUCUGGCAGCAGGUGCCUCGGCGCUCCCGCUGAAUUUGAGGCCUCGCGGGGCGGGGCGGGGCGGGGCGGGGGAAGGCUGGCCCGGUGAGGCCCGGCCGAGGGGGACCUGUUGGAAUAACGUCCCCGCUUCUCUCCUCCACGGGCAGAGAGGGAGGCAGGUCCCAAGGAUGGUCGGUGGGAGCGGGUGCGGGGACGGAUGCCUGGUCUGCGCCAAGGCGCUUUCCUUCCUCUCUACCCGCUGGCCGUCACCAGGGGUCCUCAAGGAAUGCGCAGUUGUCAGUUUUCCCCUGGGGGAGUCCAAGGGCGCAGCCCUGGGACUGGUGAGGCGCCGGCCCCCAGGUCAUUUGGCCACCGGGAGGCAUCCUGGAUUACGGGUGAGGUGGGAGACAGCGUUGAUCUCCCCUGGCUUACUUUGACAGGUGCUCAGCCAGGAGUCCCUGCUGAACAGUAGAGAGAAAGGAGAGGGGGGCUGGCUUGGUUUCCCGUGUGAGUAACCUGGUGCAGGAACUUCGGGAGGCGGCCAGUACUCUGCCUUCAGCCUGUUCCUGUCCCUGCCCCAUUGGUUGGGGACUGACUUUGCAGAUCUGGCCAGGCCCCUUUGCUUUGGGGCUGUCCUGGGCGGCCGCUGUCAUCCACCUCUCUGGCUUGUUUUCCACCCGCUUUCUUGUGAGGGAGGGGGGGCCCCCCUGUUCCAUGGAUUUUGUUGAGUGAGAGAGAGGCAGAAGUGUAUACGUCCCCCAUCACCAAGUUGGCUUGGACCAGCUUUGGGGGGUGGGGGUGGGUGACAGAGUCCAGGCCCCUAGGUAUUCUCCAUCGGCGGUGGAGUCCAGUGCGGAUCAGGGAGCAGGAGACCUCAGGUGGCCUUUCUGAAGUUUUUCCAUCACUAAUGAAAGAGGGUGUAGGAGCGCCUUCCUUCUAGGAGCUUUCAAAAUCGAAUGAGACGAACGUCCCUUGUGGAUUUUGUACCCCCUGCCCCCCGCCCUGCCACACACACCUUUUAUAUCUGGUUUACCCUGGAGUAUGUUCCCAAGAUGUGCACUGCACAGGGAGAAGGAAGCAGAGGCUUGGGGACUUGGGGAGACUCGGAGCUUCUGCUCUUGCCUUAACUUUUCCAAACAGCAUCCAGAGUGAUGCCUGAGAUAGUGCCAGAUCUCUAGGUUUCCUCUCUGGAUUGAAUCAUUAAGGAAAGAUGACACUACGCGCAGCGUAACUUCGGCAGUGUGUGUUUCUGUCCUCCGAAAAUUGGAAACCAGCGUAUGGCCUCUGUGGAAGCUCGUUCGCUUCCAAACAGAAUAAUGGAUUUUCCAGACCUUCGUAGCCCAUUCGCACACCAGACAGUAAGAAGGUUCUGCUGACCACAGGCUAUUCCCCCAGCAUUGGGGUGGGUGCUUCAGGGGGUCCAGAAAGAAGAGGGGAGAGGGCUGACAGGCGGGGGUCUAGACAAGCCCCUGCUUAGGAGGUAAAAGAACCAAGUAAAGCCAGCAUUCUCGAGGGCCGUUCGGGCAGGGCCCGGCAGGAGUUGGCAGACAUCUUGGGCUCCUCCAGUCCCCCUGAAACGGACUGUGAUUCCACCUCCUGAAGCUGAACUUCUCCCUGGUUUUUGGAGAGUCACAGGGUUCUUGAGACAGGGAGCAUUUCCCAAGACACGUUGGUCUUGUGUGUGGCCUGACACACUUCUUCGUGGCAGGAUUGACAGGGCUGAUGGGGGCCAGGACAGGGUCAAUCAGACUUGCCCCUUUUCUGUGACAGCACCACAAUAACUUGCCUUCCAGCUUACGUGGCCCAGGCUCCCUUGACCUCUGGCUUGUGGCUGAGGUCUGCAGGUCUCUCCCGAGCCAGUGAUGGGCUUGCCCUAGGGGCCUGGAGCGCUGCCCCGUCGCCUGGAACGUGUACAGAUCAGGGCUCCUCCAAGAAUUGGCCACGGGCCCUGGGCAGUGCGAGAGGGGAGCACGCCAGGUGGCCAGAUGUCAGAGAGGUGGUGUUCUAGGAUCCUGAGGCUGGUUGGAGGAAUUUUGAGCUGGAUCUGUGCUGUGCACCUACGUGGCUCUUUCUCCCGAAUUGUGUUUUCCUUCCCAGUUUGCUCCUCUCGUCUGGAGGUAGUGAUGUGCAGAAAGGGAAUGAGCAGUCACUGAGAGAUAGGGAAACACCCAGGGCCUCACCAGGGGGCGGACCAGGUGAGCCUCUCUAGGGACACAGCGGGCCCAGACAGGUGAGUGCUGUGCUCAGGGUGCUGCAUCUUGCAGGUGUGUGGACCCAGACCCCCAGGGCAGGGGUAGAUGAAUAGGAAAGGUAGGAAGCAACAGUAGCCAGGGCAGUAACAGCGCUGGGUUACUUAUUUUGCGUGGUGCAUUCUCCUGUGCUUGGAAACGUGUUUGGCUGCCGGGUUUGGGAAUGCCCUGAGCGCUAGGGUCGGAGGGGGCUUAGCCUCCCGUCCUUAAGCAUCUCGAGCCCCGGAAGAGCUCCGGACGCUCUUCCCAGACUAAUGCACCAGAUGUGCAAUCUUGUGAGAAUUCCCGAGGGUUCACAGACCCCAAGUUCAAGAUUUGCUCCAGUCUGGUAACCCCCCCCCCCCGCCACCACCACCACCACCACGUGACUUGCUACAGGCUCAGGAAUGCUGUUUCCAUUCCUCAGGACCUCGCGUGGCAGUUUGUGGUGGCUGUUGGUGUCAUUUCUUCUGAAUGCCCCUCGUUCGCCGCUAAGGUUUGCAGGGUAGUUUCCCUGAUUGGAGACUCUCCCGCUAGUCCGUGCUUGGCACCUGUUGGAGAGGUGUCAGGAGGCUUUGCUUAAUGGUCAUGAUCGUGAGCCGUGGCCCCUGGGGCUCAGGCAGGGUGCCUGAGUGGACCUGUUUCUUGAGGAGCAGUGUAAUCGUGAGGGGAGCCUGGGGCCAAGGUUCAGCUCUGGCAGCUUGCCUUCCAGUCCUUAAUCUGCUUUGACCUUGGACCCAGCAGAUAACAGCUCUCUGAGCUGUAUUUCCUCAUUUCCCAAAGACUUAUCUGGGGUCCUGAGCAGAGCAAACGCUACAAAGUAUGUGGAAUUGAGUCAGCUCUGCACGUUCUCACGGGCCGUGAUAAGACACGGGAGAAUCUGCCCAGCUUUGGGUCUGGCCAGGCUACGGGCAGCGUCUUGGUAUCCUUUCUCAGGCCAGGCCCAAAGAGCUUUUGGGUCUUGUCUACCUGGCCGGGGCUCAGCCUGGACCAAAAAGGCUCCCUGCAAGUUCAGAAGCAGUGGGGGAUGCGGGACUCAUGGGGACAAAAGAAGAAGCCACCUAUAGAUAGAGGAGGCCAUUCCUCUCCCCACCACUGGAUUCCAUUCCUGCAGGAUGGCUCCAUUCUUUCCCCACGUGCCUCUCCUUAAGUCUUGGGCUCAGGCUUGCCAUCUUUAAGGAGCCCUGGGGAAGAAGUACUUUUAGGCAUAGAGAGAGGGCAAAUGCAGCCUCUCCGAGUCCCACAGAUGCAGACUGGCUCGUCGGCCGGCUUCGGGGAGCACUAGAAUAAGGGGUCAGUUUCCCUAGGAGAUGCCAGGCUGCAGUGGCCCACGUCCUCCUGUUCACCAGCCUCCCCGCUCUCUCAUAAAGAGAAUCCGACCGGAUCAGUCCAUUGCCACUCAGUAUGGCGCAGCCCUACUGGGCAAAGCUGUUCCAGGGUUAGCCUGUCCAGCCCCAUUCAGUGGUGUGGCUUCGCCAUGGGCGCUGGAUUCAGUCUGCUGUGGCCAGAGUGGCAGGGCUGACUUCCCUCUGUACCUGGGAGCAUGAGCCAUGUCAGCUAAUGCAAAAAAAAAAAAAGAAAAAGAAAAAGAAAAAAGAAAAAAGAACAACUCCCCUCCCCCUGCCCGGGGCCAAGGGUAACUUGCUUCCUAGGGGGACUGAAUAGUAGGCAAGCAUUUAGAGGCUCCCCAGGGUCCUGGAUACUAGGCAGGUGCUUCCUGGCUGGAGUCAGAAAGAUGAAGAAAAUAGCCUUGAAGGUCACCUUUUUCUUCUGACACCCCACCUGAGAAAAUCUCUUUAGGUGAGCAGGUUGGAGGACACCGAACACGGAGGUCUCCCACCCUUGGCCUUGAUCUUAUUCUUCCCUGACUUGAAAUGCAUUUCCUUGUGUCCAAUGAACGCUUCUUGCCUUUCCAAGGCCGCCCUCCGUGUCUGCCCUUGGCUCUGAGAUUCACUUGCCUUUUCGGUCCUACCACAGUGGGUAGCGUUUAAUCAUCCGUACGCAGUUUCUCACCUGACAUAGAUUUUGUUUGUCAGACUAAGUCAUAUGCUUCCCGAGCGUGGAGACCCCACCACCUCCCCCACCCCGCCCCCAUUGUCCCUGGCAUGAUACUGAACACCCACAGGCCUAUGACAUUCUUCAGUAAGUCUGUGCACUGUGAAGAUGUGCGUCCACAUGUCACCACUGUCACGGUGUGUCCUCAGAAGGCUCGUGAAUCCCCAGCCACAGCUGUGCAUCUGGGGGCUUAUUUAUGAGAAGCAUUAGUAUGACCGUGAGAUCUGACACGUUUGCUCUCUGUGUCAUUGGAUGCCCGGGAGCAGUGUCCGCGGGGCUUGGCUGUUCCUGGCGGCCUGCCAGGUGGUGGUGUUCUUGGAGAGAGGAGUGGCCCGCUGCCCGGCCUCCGUGGGCACCUUGGGGAUCCCAUCCUGCAGGUGCAGUCUGGAGCCUCUGCCGAGGUGGCCGCGAGGGGGGUGGGGGGUGGGGGCCGAGCCUGAAGGGAGAGCCUGGCCUCCACAUUCCCGAUCGGCUGCUUGUGCUGAAUCAUGUUCGUUUCACCCACAAAGAGAAACCUUCCUUUUUUAAAAUCCACCGCUCUCUGACUGGGCUGGGCACAGGCAUUUCCAGUAAUAAAGGUGCGGGAGGAAUCCAAUGCCGGGGCCUGCUUUGCUGGUUUGCAAGGCCAGGGACACGGUAGCCUCUGUAUGGGCAGCCAUGACCGCGGGGCUUGGGCCUGGGCCGGCUGUCCCGACUUCACAUCUGGUGGGCUGGGGGCCUUCUCUCUGGAACACAUGCCCACCUCCUCAGAGAUGACCAGGAUCUGCUUUGCUGUUUGUCUUCAGAGGUCCUGAAAUACCCUGGGGUGCACGCAUGGACACCCCUCCUUGGUGACCUGGGACACCCCCUGCCCCUUCCCCCAAUGUCAUUUCAUUUCCGUGUGUGCUUCUCUCGGGCAGAGGCCAUAGAUCAUGUACUGGGCACAGUGGGUUUUCAAGAGAUCCUUGUCAAAUGGAUUUUAAACUUCUUCUCGGGCAUACUUCCCCGAGACCACUGCUCCUCUUUCUCAGCAACCAGCGUGGUCUGGCUCAGACUUCUGGAGUGUUUCCACCCCAAGCACGGAGCCAGGUUAUCCUUCCAGUAACCUGCAGAGUUGGUAUCGUCCCCCCUCCCCGUUGUCUAGGUGCCAGCAGCUCCUGUGCACCCUGCACGCCACCUGCAGGUGAGAGCCACCUGGCACAAGGGUCACCCAGGUGGCCAGGGUCUUUUCUCUGGCUUCCCCACCGGGAUGCUCAAGGGGUGGGGUCGACAUCCCCACUUUAAGGAGGGGAUCUCCGCCUGCCAUUUCUCCCGCCCUUCUCCUCCAAGAGCAGCGCCGUGGGUGACCCUCAAGCAAAAUCACACACACACACACACACACACACACACACACACACACAGCCGUGUCCUGCAUGAGCAGCCUGUUCUGAUGAGGACGGUGACCUUGGAACACUCGGGGGGGGGGGGGUCGGGGUAGUGUGGGCUCGCCACAGUGCCUCUUCUCCCCACCCCACCCACCAGCCCUGAGCAGGGCCCACGUGGCUCUCCGGGAGCAUUUCCCAGCUUUUUUUUUUUUUUUUUUUAACUUUUAUUAGCUCAAACUCCUGGCUGCCACAGCCAUAUGGAGUUCUGCUGACGGCUGCUGCUCAAAGGCAUGUGGCAUUUUGAUGUUUCUAACUUCAUCUUCACCAGCGUAGAUGCAGGAGUCCGGCUGGGAGUGGGGGGUGUCUGAAUGUGUUGCCUGGUAGAGAGGUGGCCUCCUCCAGGCUGCCCCCCACCCCUGCUCAGCCCUGCAUGCCCGCAACUAGUUUUCUGCUUCUCUCUGCAUUUACACGUUUCUCUCUGUGUCCCUUCCUUUCCUCGGGAGGGUUGGUGAUGGUUGGGGGUGGGGGGGAGAAGCAAACGCUUUGCCUCUUAUUAGUCGUCCUGCUUUUGGUCAACUUCCCCGUGCAGCACACCCCAGCCUCCAUGGAGAAAGGGGUCCAGCUCAUUUCGGUCGCCUGCUUGGUGGGCCGGUGCCUUGGGCCGGAGAGUGGUCAUUGGAGACACCCCUCCUGUCUGCACGUUGCUUUCCAGUCCGCAAAGCGUUCUCCCUCGUUUCUUUUGCUCCUUAAAUAGUCUUGGGAGGUUGGCAGGAUAUUGCUUACAGCGAAAAAAAAAAAAAAAAAGAAUGGCGGGGGGGGUUUAAUAUUAUGAAAGCACUGUAUAAUCAUUGUAGUAAAAUAUGAAAAGGCAGAUGAGCAAAAAUAAGACAGCAGGAAUGAAUUCCUCUAUUUCACAGUCGAGUGCCUGUUCUUCGAGGCACUCUUCUAGGCGCUGGGGAGGCAGCAGGCAGGCAAAAAGGAAAAGCGGUGCUCGUAAUUGGUUCCCUGCCGCCUGGAGGGUUUGUGAGGAUCCAAGAGGCAGGCGCUGAGCACUGGCCCAGAGGAAAGGGCUCCGCGGAGGUGGCUCCCUUCGCUGGCAACCGGGAGCCCUGGUUCCGGUCCCAGCUCAGACCGUGCCGGGUGCCCAGCUCCUUCCCUUCUCUGGCCUCGGUUUCCCCCUCUACAAAAUGAAGGGGCGGUGUAUGGUUGAAAUGACCACUGAGGCUCUCUGCCAUCGCUCGGGUUCCCCCAGGCUCCAGUGGUUUCACAAAGACCCAUUCAUUCCCAUCUGUGCCCAGUUAUGUCUUCCAGGCCCUGAGCUGGAUUCACAUCCAUGCCCUGAGGUCACUCCCUUGUCCCCAGCCAGUGGAAGAGCCGGGGACACGGGGAGGGGCUUCUGGAGGGAAACAGCCCGCACACCGGCCACUGCAGAGGCCAGCCUGGCGCGCACGCAGCAGCCCUUGCCGACCUACCCUUCCUCUGACGGAGGAGGGUGGUAGUCACACAGUGUCAAGGGCAGAAGCUGGGGCAGCGGACUUGCACACCGUCCUGUAGCGUCCUGGAGGCUGCGAUUCGCGAGCAAAGACCCAUGUUCAGAGAGGCCUGCGUUGUCCUGUGAGCCCUUCACCCAGGGUGUCACAAAGGACAAUGAGGCCUGUCUCCAGGCUCAGCCAGGCCCUGCGGGGACCUGCAGCCUGUGGAACCCCCUCAGGCUCCCUCUCUUCCCCCUUUGCUCCCAGGAGGUCGCCCGGGGCCCCUCUCACAUCCGCCUCUCUCCUCUCCCUCCCGCAGGGCAGGCCUAGCUCAGCGUUCAAGAUUCUGCUCCUUGGUGCCUCUCUCCUGCCCACAGAGACCCAGUCUCCCAGCCUGGGCAGAGCGGGGGUGGGGUAGGGGCCUUGUCCUCUUUGGCAACCCCCCCCCCCCCCCCCGCCCAGCCAAGCGCCUGCUGCUACCUGGCCACACUAGUACGUGGUUCUUUCAUUCCGCAGACACUCCCGGCACCUGUGGGGUGGGGUGGGUGGCCCCUGGAAGGAGUGAGCAAAGCAGGGUCCGCCCCGGUGCUUGUUUUUAGCGGAAUCAGAGGAGCCACUGGUUCUGUAGACGGGCGGCGAGUGAGUGUAGGGCCAGCCGUAGCGGGUCACAUUCCCGCUCUGCCAUUGACUCUGGCCACAGACGCCGAGAGGUUGGGCUGGGCAGAGAGCCAGGGAAGUGGCCGCAGGGGAUGGCGGGGGGGUGGGGGGGGGUGGCAUUCGCAGGUGCAGGGCACGCGCCACAGGCUAGCUUCUUUGCAAACUCCUUUUCCCCACAGGGCUUCUGGGUGGACACAGGCGCUGAGCCUGGAGGCUGCAGGAAGUCAACCUCCCUCUCCUCCUCCCCUGCCCCGAAGGACCCCUCCCAGCAGCCCUGGUGCUUGGGUCUGGCCCUCUCCGGUGCAUACCUCCCUCCAGGCCCUUAGCCUAGGCUCCCCAAGAGCAUCCCAGUGCCUCACUGGGAGCUCCGACUCUCUUUUUCCCCUCCAGGGACCCCCCGUCCACACACAGCUGCUUCCCCCCCAGAGCCACCGGCUGCCCAAGGAGGCUUGCAGGACACCCCUCUCCCACUGAGGGCCACCAGGCAGGGGUGCGACCCCCGGGGGAGACUGGAAGCCCUCCCCACUCAAGCACGGCAACCACCUGCAGGGAGCCCGGGACUCAUACUGACGCUGCUCAAGCCGGCCAUCCUGGGGGGGGACAAGGAGGGUGUCCUCUGUCCUCUUUGCACCUGCCAGGGCCCAGGUGUUGAAGAUGCCACCUCCAGCAUCAUACAGUAAACUCAGUGUGACUCUGACGUA